rnacentral:rRNA from 1 species
CGCCCUUAGAGUUUGAUCCUGGCUCAGAUUGAACGCUGGCGGCAGGCCUAACACAUGCAAGUCGAACGGUAAAGCAGCUUGCUGCUUACGAGUGGCGGACGGGUGAGUAAUGUCUGGGAAGCUGCCUGAUGGAGGGGGAUAACUACUGGAAACGGUAGCUAAUACCGCAUAAUGUCGCAAGACCAAAGAGGUUCGUCUUGCCAUCGGAUGUGCCCAGAUGGGAUUAGCUUGUUGGUGGGGUAACGGCUCACCAAGGCGACGAUCCCUAGCUGGUCUGAGAGGAUGACCAGCCACACUGGAACUGAGACACGGUCCAGACUCCUACGGGAGGCAGCAGUGGGGAAUAUUGCACAAUGGGCGCAAGCCUGAUGCAGCCAUGCCGCGUGUAUGAAGAAGGCCUUCGGGUUGUAAAGUACUUUCAGCGGGGAGGAAGGGAGUAAAGUAAUCUUUGCUCUUGACGUUACCCGCAGAAGAAGCACCGGCUAACUCCGUGCCAGCAGCCGCGGUAAUACGGAGGGUGCAAGCGUUAAUCGGAAUUACUGGGCGUAAAGCGCACGCAGGCGGUUUGUUAAGUCAGAUGUGAAAUCCCCGGGCUCAACCUGGGAACUGCAUCUGAUACUGGCAAGCUUGAGUCUCGUAGAGGGGGGUAGAAUUCCAGGUGUAGCGGUGAAAUGCGUAGAGAUCUGGAGGAAUACCGGUGGCGAAGGCGGCCCCCUGGACGAGACUGACGCUCAGGUGCGAAAGCGUGGGGAGCAAACAGGAUUAGAUACCCUGGUAGUCCACGCCGUAAACGAUGUCGACUUGGAGGUUGUGCUCUUGAGGCGUGGCUUCCGGAGCUAACGCGUUAAGUCGACCGCCUGGGGAGUACGGCCGCAAGGUUAAAACUCAAAUGAAUUG